rnacentral:misc_RNA from 1 species
GUAACAAGGUUUCCGUAGGUGAACCUGCGGAAGGAUCAUUACCGAGUGCGGGCCCUCGCGGCCCAACCUCCCACCCUUGUCUCUAUACACCUGUUGCUUUGGCGGGCCCACCGGGGCCACCUGGUCGCCGGGGGACGUCGUCUCCGGGCCCGCGCCCGCCGAAGCGCUCUGUGAACCCUGAUGAAGAUGGGCUGUCUGAGUACUAUGAAAAUUGUCAAAACUUUCAACAAUGGAUCUCUUGGUUCCGGCAUCGAUGAAGAACG